AGUGAACGCUGGCGGCAGGCCUAACACAUGCAAGUCGAACGGCAGCACAAGAGAGCUUGCUCUCUGGGUGGCGAGUGGCGGACGGGUGAGGAAUGCAUCGGAAUCUGCCCAUUUGUGGGGGAUAACCUCGGGAAACCGGGACUAAUACCGCAUACGACCUACGGGUGAAAGCAGGGGAUCUUCGGACCUUGCGCAGAUGGAUGAGCCGAUGCCGGAUUAGCUAGUUGGAGGGGUAAAGGCCCACCAAGGCGACGAUCCGUAGCUGGUCUGAGAGGAUGAUCAGCCACACUGGGACUGAGACACGGCCCAGACUCCUACGGGAGGCAGCAGUGGGGAAUAUUGGACAAUGGGCGCAAGCCUGAUCCAGCCAUGCCGCGUGUGUGAAGAAGGCCUUCGGGUUGUAAAGCACUUUUGUUGGGAAAGAAAAGCAGCCGGUUAAUACCCGGUUGUCAUGACGGUACCAAAAGAAUAAGCACCGGCUAACUUCGUG
rnacentral:rRNA from 1 species